rnacentral:rRNA from 1 species
AGUUCGGAUUGUAGUCUGCAACCCGACUACAUGAAGCUGGAAUCGCUAGUAAUCGCGGAUCAGAAUGCCGCGGUGAAUACGUUCCCGGGUCUUGUACACACCGCCCGUCACACCAUGGGAGUCGGAAAUGCCCGAAGUCAGUGACCCAACCGUAAGGAGGGAGCUGCCGAAGGUGGAGCCGGUAACUGGGGUGAAGUCGUAACAAGGUAAC